CUGAACUGUGCUAAGGUAGCAAAAUAGCUUGAUGAAUAAUUUUCAUCUAGAAUAAAAGGACUGACAAGAAUAAACCUAUCUUUUUUUAAAAAUAAAAAUUUUAAUUUAAGUAAAAAUACUUAACUACUUUAGAAGGACGACAAGACCUUAGAACCUAAACAUUACUUUAAGUUAUUUACUGGGGUGGUAAAUUUUAUCCAAAUUUAAUUUUAACACCCUAAUUGAAUCUUUCUUACCUAAAAGCUAAAUUUAAAAAGGUACUCUAGGGAUAACAGCACAAAUAUCUUUUAGAGCCCCUAUCGAUAAGAUUUUAUGUGACCUCGAUGUUGAAUUAUUGUUCCUUAUUAAGAGUAAUCUCUAGUCAAGGAGGUCUGUUCGACCUUUAUUCCAAUACGUGAUCUGAGUUCAGA
rnacentral:rRNA from 1 species